GAUGAACGCUGGCGGCGUGCCUAACACAUGCAAGUCGAACGGAGUCCAGCCUUUAAGACCUUCGGGUCAAAGAGGGGAAGACUGAGUGGCGGACGGGUGAGUAACACGUGGGCAACCUGGCUCAUAGAGGGGGAUAACAGAGAGAAAUUUCUGCUAAUACCGCAUAAGCACACACUGCCGCAUGGCAGAGGGUGAAAAGAGAAUCGCUAUGAGAUGGACCCGCGUCUGAUUAGCCAGUUGGCAGGGUAAGAGCCUACCAAAGCGACGAUCAGUAGCCGAUCUGAGAGGAUGAACGGCCACAUUGGGACUGAGACACGGCCCAAACUCCUACGGGAGGCAGCAGUGGGGGAUAUUGCACAAUGGGGGGAACCCUGAUGCAGCGACGCCGCGUGAGUGAAGAAGUAUUUCGGUAUGUAAAGCUCUAUCAGCAGGGAAGAUAAUGACAGUACCUGAGUAAGAAGCCCCGGCUAACUACGUG
rnacentral:rRNA from 1 species